GGCUCUGUGGCGCAAUGGAUAGCGCAUUGGACUUCUAAUUCAAAGGUUGUGGGUUCGAGUCCCACCAGAGUCG